GAAAGCCGUACUUGAUAAAAGUCAUAUGUAUGGUUUGGAGGGAGAUUUUACAUAUCUUUCUAGAUCUACCUUAU
rnacentral:ncRNA from 1 species